rnacentral:rRNA from 1 species
GCCGCGUGUGCGAAGAAGGUCUUCGGAUCGUAAAGCACUUUUGACAGGGAAGAGGAAGGACAGUACCUGUAGAAUAAGCUUCGGCUAACUACGUGCCAGCAGCCGCGGUAACACGUAGGAAGCGAGCGUUAUCCGGAUUUACUGGGCGUAAAGCGCGUGCAGGCGGGCUAGAAAGUUAGAUGUGAAAUCUCCUGGCUUAACUGGGAGAGGUCGUCUAAAACUACUAGUCUGGAGUGUGAGAGAGGGAGGCAGAAUUCCGAGUGUAGUGGUGAAAUGCGUAGAUAUUCGGAGGAAUACCAGAGGCGAAGGCGGCCUCCUGGCUCACAACUGACGCUGAGACGCGAAAGCUAGGGUAGCAAACGGGAUUAGAGACCCCGGUAGUCCUAGCUGUAAACGAUGUAGACUGGGCGUUGGCGAUGUAAAAGUCGUCAGUGUCGAAGCUAACGCGAUAAGUCUACCGCCUGGGGAUUACGGCCGCAAGGCUAAAACUCAAAGGAAUUUGACGGGGACCCGCACAAGCAGCGGAGCGUGUGGUUUAAUU